UACGUAGGGCGCAAGCGUUGUCCGGAAUUAUUGGGCGUAAAGAGCUCGUAGGCGGUUUGUCGCGUCUGCUGUGAAAACCUAAGGCUCAACCUUGGGCUUGCAGUGGGUACGGGCAGACUAGAGUGCGGUAGGGGUGACUGGAAUUCCUGGUGUAGCGGUGGAAUGCGCAGAUAUCGAGGAGGAACACCGGUGGUCGUAGACGGCUUUCUGGAC
rnacentral:rRNA from 1 species